rnacentral:rRNA from 1 species
AGAUUGAACGCUAGCGGGAUGCUUUACACAUGCAAGUCGAACGGCAGCGCGGACUUCGGUCUGGCGGCGAGUGGCGAACGGGUGAGUAAUGCAUCGGAACGUGCCCAGUCGUGGGGGAUAACGCAGCGAAAGCUGUGCUAAUACCGCAUACGAUCUAUGGAUGAAAGCGGGGGACCGAAAGGCCUCGCGCGAUUGGAGCGGCCGAUGUCAGAUUAGCUAGUUGGUGGGGUAAAGGCCCACCAAGGCGACGAUCUGUAGCUGGUCUGAGAGGACGACCAGCCACACUGGAACUGAGACACGGUCCAGACUCCUACGGGAGGCAGCAGUGGGGAAUUUUGGACAAUGGGCGCAAGCCUGACCCAGCAAUGCCGCGUGCAGGAAGAAGGCCUUCGGGUUGUAAACUGUCUUUGUACGGUAACGAAACGGACCUAGGGUUAAUACCGUCGGCUAAGUGAACGGUAACCGUAAGAAUAAGCACUGGACUAAUACGUGCCAGCAGCCGACG